rnacentral:rRNA from 1 species
UACGUAGGCAGCGAGCGUUGUUCGGAGUUACUGGGCGUAAAGGGUGUGUAGGCGGUUCUUUUAAGUUUGGUGUGAAAUCUCCCGGCUCAACCGGGAGGGUGCGCCGAAUACUGAGGGACUAGAGUGCGGGAGAGGAAAGUGGAAUUCCUGGUGUAGCGGUGAAAUGCGUAGAUAUCUGGAGGAACACCGGUGGCGAAGGCGGCAUCCUGGACCGGCAUUGACGCUGAGGCGCGAAAGCUAGGGGAGCAAACGGG